AUUGAACGCUGGCGGCAUGCCUUACACAUGCAAGUCGAAUGGUAACAGGUCUUCGGAUGCUGACGAGUGGCGAACGGGUGAGUAAUACAUCGGAACGUGCCCGAUCGUGGGGAGAACCAAGCCAAAACUUUUCCUAAUACCGCAACCAACCAACGGAUAAACGCAGGGGCCGCAAAGGCCUUCCGGAACGGAGGCGGCCGAGGCAGGAUAAGGUAGUUGGUGGGAUAAAAGCUUACCAAGCCGACGUGCUGUAGCUGGUCUAGGAGGACAACCAGCCACACUGGGACUGAAACACGGCCCAGACUCCUACGGGAGGCAGCAGUGGGGAAUUUUGGACAAUGGGCGAAAGCCUGAUCCAGUCAUGCCGCGUGCAGGAUGAAGGCCUUCGGGUUGUAAACUGCUUUUGUACGGAACGAAAAGACUCUGGUUAAUACCUGGGGUCCAUGACGGUACCGUAAGAAUAAGCACCGGCUAACUACGUG
rnacentral:rRNA from 1 species